UACGGAGGGUGCAAGCGUUAAUCGGAAUUACUGGGCGUAAAGCGUGCGCAGGCGGUUUGUUAAGUCUGCUGUGAAAUCCCCGAGCUCAACUUGGGAAUUGCAGUGGAUACUGGCAGGCUGGAGUAUGGUAGAGGAAGGUGGAAUUCCCGGUGUAGCAGUGAAAUGCGUAGAGAUCGGGAGGAGCACCAGUGGCGAAGGCGGCCUUCUGGACCAAUACUGACGCUCAUGCACGAAAGCGUGGGGAGCGAACAGG
rnacentral:rRNA from 1 species